rnacentral:rRNA from 1 species
AUAUCCGUUAUGGAAAAUUCAACAUUAAUAUUAUAAUAUAUAUUUUUGUAAUAUUAUAAAAAUAGUGUGCAAUUUUUCCAUAUAAGGACAUUGUAAUCUGUUAGUGUAAUAUAAAUAUUUAUUAAAAGAUCUAAUUAAAGAGUUUAUUCAAAUUAGUUAUUUUCGAAUUUCUAACAUAGAAUAAAUUGAUUAGAUUUAAUAAAUCAUUGACAGUUUUAUUUGUAUAUAGUGCUUAAAUUCUUUAUUGAAUUUUACAAUGAUUGUUUUUUUUUUUAUAUAAAAUUUUCAAUUGUUUGCACUUAUAUGAUUAACAAUGCUAUAAAUUCAGGAUACCUUCGGGACCCGUCUUGAAACACGGACCAAGGAGUCUAACAUAUGUGCAAGUCAUUGGGUAUUUAUAAUAAAACCCAAUGGCAUAAUUAACUUAACUGUUUUUUUUUUUUUUAAAUUUGGGAUUAGUUUAAAUUUUAUUAUGAAAUAUAAAUUCAAUCCCGGGGCGUUCUAUAUAGUUAUGUAUAAUAGUAUUUAUAUUAUUUAUGCCUCUAACUAGA